UAUCAUCUUUUGUAUGUGAUGAUUUUAGUAUUAUGAACGAUGUAAAAGCUUAAGUUUUUGGAUGAAAAUAUGCUAUGUAAUUUUGGAAGAUCAUGUGAUGUAAAAAAAAAUGAUGGAAAGAAUAUAAAAGAAUUUAAUUGUUGAAUGCAUGUAUAUGAUUAAAAAGAUAAUCAUUGUACUUGUAUGUUGUUUAGUUUAGUACUUUCACUUUUGGCUAUUGCUUGCCCUUAUGCAAGCUAUGUAUAUCUUUGUUCCGCUGUGAAAAUUCAUAUAUACAUGAUCUGUUCUUUUUGAGCCUUGGGCAGACAGGGGAGGUACUGUCCGUUCGGCGUCUGUUCGACGUGCCC
rnacentral:lncRNA from 1 species